rnacentral:rRNA from 1 species
GCGGACGGGUGAGUAACGCGUGGGUAACCUGCCUCAUACAGGGGGAUAACAGUUAGAAAUGACUGCUAAUACCGCAUAAGACCACGGAGCCGCAUGGCUCCGUGGGAAAAACUCCGGUGGUAUGAGAUGGACCCGCGUCUGAGUAGGUAGUUGGUGGGGUAACGGCCUACCAAGCCAACGAUCAGUAGCCGACCUGAGAGGGUGACCGGCCACAUUGGGACUGAGACACGGCCCAAACUCCUACGGGAGGCAGCAGUGGGGAAUAUUGCACAAUGGGGGAAACCCUGAUGCAGCGACGCCGCGUGAGCGAAGAAGUAUUUCGGUAUGUAAAGCUCUAUCAGCAGGGAAGAAAAUGACGGUACCUGACUAAGAAGCACCGGCUAAAUACGUGCCAGCAGCCGCGGUAAUACGUAUGGUGCAAGCGUUAUCCGGAUUUACUGGGUGUAAAGGGAGCGUAGACGGCUGUGUAAGUCUGAAGUGCAAAGCCCGGGGCCUCAACCCCGGGACUGCUUUGGAAACUAUGCAGCUAGAGUGUCGGAGAGGUAAGUGGAAUUCCCAGUGUAGCGGUGAAUGCGUAGAUAUUGGGAGGAACACCAGUGGCGAAGGCGGCUUACUGGACGAUGACU